rnacentral:rRNA from 1 species
GCAGCGGAGCAUGUGGCUUAAUUCGACGCAACGCGAAGAACCUUACCAGGUCUUGACAUCCCCUGACAACCCAGAGAUUGGGCGUUCCCCUUCGGGGGGACAGGGUGACAGGUGGUGCAUGGUUGUCGUCAGCUCGUGUCGUGAGAUGUUGGGUUAAGUCCCGCAACGAGCGCAACCCUCGCCUCUAGUUGCCAGCAUUCGGUUGGGCACUCUAGAGGGACUGCCGGCGACAAGUCGGAGGAAGGUGGGGAUGACGUCAAGUCCUCAUGGCCCUUAUGGGUAGGGCUUCACACGUCAUACAAUGGUCGGUACAGAGGGUUGCCAAGCCGCGAGGUGGAGCCAAUCCCUUAAAGCCGAUCGUAGUCCGGAUCGUAGUCUGCAACUCGACUACGUGAAGUCGGAAUCGCUAGUAAUCGCAGAUCAGCAUGCUGCGGUGAAUACGUUCCCGGGUCUU